AAUUUUAAAACCAUAAUUCCAACUCCAUAAAUUAAAAAUAGAUCGUAGCAAUUAAGAAGGGCGAACCAUCGGUCCCAAAUAUACAUACUUCAUUAAUAUAUAUACUCUUUUAAUGAAAAAAUGAAUAAGGUGCGUCGAAAUAUUAAAUGAUAGAAGUGAAGCAACAAUGAAGACGUACCAAAGAUUCAUAGAGAGAAAGUAAAAAUGUAUUAAUGAGAGAAAUUAAGGAAGAGAGAAGUUCAUCAUUUUAUAGCAAUUAAUGACCAACGAUCACGGGCCACCAUAUAAAAAUAGGGGUCUAGUCCUGCUAACACGAGAUACGUUAUACACCAGACACUGUUAUUAUGAUAUUAAAUUUUAUAGGGGCCUAGUCCUGCUAACACGAGAUACUUUAUACACCAGACACUAUUAUUAUGAUAUUAAAUUUUAGAUGAAAAAUUAUGUGUUAGGAGUAAACAAAAUUUAUACUUUUUGGUUGCAUGGUUUGUACUGUCUGCUUGCAAUGAGCUGUGUACAAAUCUUUAUAUCUGCCGCCUCUACUCCUCACGAGCCUAUUUAUAGUUUCACUUGUUAUAAACCACACAUCAUAGUUUUACAGGAACUCCACACUUGUUUAAAAAUGACAAAUGCAGCUUCCAAUAAAAAUAUAUUUCUUAUACUAUAUGUUUUUUGCCUGCUUUUGCUAUCAUUUUUAAUAAAUGAAGCUGUGGGAGUCCGUCAAUUAUCUGAAGAAUACAUGAUAAUGAAACCCGAGUUGACGAAUCGUCAUAAUAAACGUCCUGUUUUUCAUGGGAAGGAAAUCAAGAAUUGCUUACCAAAAGGGUUCAGACAUGCAUCUGGUCCAAGCAGAUUUGUGAACAAUCAUAUACUUGGUGAACUUGGAAUUGGAUGUUCACAAGAUAAGCAUUUCAAGCAACCUUAAUUAACUAGCCCAGCAAUGUAACUGAUUCAUACGAAUAAGCGAUUUCAUUUGGAGUUGAAACAUUACAAGAAUAAUCUUACGUAAUUUGGCAGAAAGAGGGCGGAGAUAUUAUUUCAGACAUUUUCAACUCAAUAUUCUGCAUGCAUUUUUUGCAAGAUGUAGAGAUCACACAUAACUAAGUUUACAUAAUUUGUCUAUUUGUUCUCAAACACACACCAAGUUAUUUCAGCAAAACUACCACUGCAAUUAGACAUUUUUGAAUAUUAGAUGCUCGUUUACAGAAACUGUAGCAAUUUUAAGUGAAUUAGCACCUAUUAUACAAAGGCAAAUUAGAGCCUGGUAACAAGAAAGAAAUGCAUCAAAAGGGAAAAGGUGAAGAGAAUAAAUUACCAAGGUCCACUAUAUUAGCAAAGCUAUUGAGGUUUCUUUAAAAUGUCAUAGAACACCUCAAGAUAACAACAUUAAAGAGCGAGCAAAAUAAACCAACAGUUGGACGAGUAGCAUUACAGCUUCCAGAAACAAAUAAGUAAAUUGUUUAGGAAACUCUAUAUAGCGCUAGCAACAACGGAAAAGAAA